rnacentral:rRNA from 1 species
UUCCAGACUCCUACGGGAGGCAGCAGUGGGGAAUAUUGCACAAUGGGGGAAACCCUGAUGCAGCGACGCCGCGUGAGUGAAGAAGUAUUUCGGUAUGUAAAGCUCUAUCAGCAGGGAAGAUAAUGACGGUACCUGACUAAGAAGCCCCGGCUAACUACGUGCCAGCAGCCGCGGUAAUACGUAGGGGGCAAGCGUUAUCCGGAUUUACUGGGCGUAAAGGGUGCGUAGGUGGCAUGGCAAGUCAGAAGUGAAAGCCCGGGGCUCAACCCCGCGGACUGCUUUUGAAACUGUCAGGCUGGAGUACAGGAGAGGUAAGCGGAAUUCCUAGUGUAGCGGUGAAAUGCGUAGAUAUUAGGAGGAACACCAGUGGCGAAGGCGGCUUACUGGACUGUAACUGACACUGAGGCACGAAAGCGUGGGGAGCAAACAGGAUUAGAUACCCCAGUACA